rnacentral:rRNA from 1 species
GACGAACGCUGGCGGCGUGCCUAAUACAUGCAAGUAGAACGCUGAAGGAGGAGCUUGCUUCUCUGGAUGAGUUGCGAACGGGUGAGUAACGCGUAGGUAACCUGCCUGGUAGCGGGGGAUAACUAUUGGAAACGAUAGCUAAUACCGCAUAAGAGUAGAUGUUGCAUGACAUUUGCUUAAAAGGUGCAAUUGCAUCACUACCAGAUGGACCUGCGUUGUAUUAGCUAGUUGGUGGGGUAACGGCUCACCAAGGCGACGAUACAUAGCCGACCUGAGAGGGUGAUCGGCCACACUGGGACUGAGACACGGCCCAGACUCCUACGGGAGGCAGCAGUAGGGAAUCUUCGGCAAUGGACGGAAGUCUGACCGAGCAACGCCGCGUGAGUGAAGAAGGUUUUCGGAUCGUAAAGCUCUGUUGUAAGAGAAGAACGAGUGUGAGAGUGGAAAGUUCACACUGCGACGGUAUCUUACCAGAAAGGGACGGCUAACUACGUG